rnacentral:sRNA from 1 species
UCAAUUGGUACGCCCUCUUUGAACAUGGU